AUGACGGGUAGUAGGCGACAGAAGAGAGAGAGAGGGCAGGAGGGCCACUGGCUGUGGCAACGGCGAGCUGGUUGGCAACCAGGGUUCAGGGGAGCUGGGAAUGAGAGCAGGGGAGGGAGCAGGACUGCAGUUCAUAGGAGGGGAUGGCGCGGAGGUCAAAGGGGAGAGAGGAGACAACUGCGUGGCAGUGAAGGGGGGAAGGUCCUAGAAAGGAUGCCUCUGAGGAUGUGGGGGCUCAAUGUGCUGCAGGAUGAAGGGAGGCUCCAGGGAGCGGGGAGGGCNNNNNNAUGGGGAGAUGGGACAGAGGGUCAGGGAGGUGUGGAGGCCUCGGUCCUGGUAGGACUCCCAUCGUGCGGGCUGGUGGUUGGGGUGGUCUUUGCUAUCAGACAAAUCCUUCUGGGGUCAUGGUGUGUUGUUUACCCAAGGAUCUUCUUCUCAUUCUGUCUCCCCUCCAGGCACUUUUGUCCCAGAGCCAGGAGGCAGACAGAGCCAGCGCUAAGUCAGAGCUGCCUGAGGAAGACUCCACACGCGUUUCCCUUGAGCUGGUCUGCAGGCCCCUCCGGCUGGGACCCUGUCCUAGGAGCUGCCCGUCUGCAAACAGGUCCAGGCCAAACCCAGAGCCGCCUCCUUCACGGUCAUCUCACCGCCUAUCCUAGUGUUUUCUGA
rnacentral:lncRNA from 1 species